GUGCUGGACUCGGCAGCACAUUUACUAAAGUGGGAAGGACACAGAGAAGAUUAACUUGGCCCUGUGCAAAGAUGACAUGCAAAUUUGUGCUGCAUUUUGUAGCGUU